AAAAAAUUCAGUCAUUAGAUUCAAUGUUUACGUGUCUUCUUCUGUGCUCUUCUCUGGUGUCCCUGCAGAGAUGCUUGCAUCUACCCCUGGUGCUGUUCCUUUGUCCGGUUCAUCUGGGUUGUGCGUCUUCUUCUGUGCUCUUCUCUGGUGUCCCUGCAGAGAUGCUUGCAUCUACCCCUGGUGCUGUUCCUUUGUCCGGUUCAUCUGGGUUGUGCGUCUUCUUCUGUGCUCUUCUCUGGUGUCCCUGCAGAGAUGCUUGCAUCUACCCCUGGUGCUGUUCCUUUGUCCGGUUCAUCUGGUGGGUGUGUCGGUGUUGUC